GCGAGCUGCUUUCCCUCCCCAAAGUGUGGAGCAGGAGCGCGGGGGAGCGCGGCGGCGGCGGCGCCUCCUCUGCCACCAAACUCCGGGGCUCGGCGGGGCUUGGGGCCACCUCCUCCUUAGCCAGGAGGAACCUUCUCCCAAUAGGUUGCAGCCUGACUUUUUCCUUCCCAUUUCUUUCUUCUUUCUCUCUCUUUUUAAAAAAUACACUUUUCCUGCCUUUGGACCUCAGACUGCUGCAGCCCGAGCAUUCCCGGGGCUCAGUUCUUGGGGGCUGCCCAUCCCUCCGGCUGCAAGCAAGGACGCGCGCCCUGCGUCGGGCGAAGAAAAGAAGAAAAACUUGUCGGAGAGGUUUCGCGUGCCCACAGUAACCCCCUUCCCACAAACCUAAACCUCCCGCGGGGGCCAUCCCAAGACUCUGUAAAGUUCCUUCCGAGCCAACAGCCCUCUUGGAUUUGGAGGAGGCACCGGCGCUGGCUGUGGAAUUAGAUCUGUUUUGAACCCAGUGGAGCGCAUCGGGGGAGCUCGGAAGUCACAGUCUGCGGGUACCCGGGUGGCGCUGCCUGUGCGGAACGGAGAGUUUGCCAGCCCCGGCUGCAAGUGGCCUUUCGUCUCCGCAGUUGUUGUUCUGUGUCUGGGGUGAGGGCUGCGAGUGUUGUGGCAAGUUGUGAAGAGAGACCUGGAGGUCCGGAGAGGACUGCACUCCCCCUGGCACUCCCUUCUUCCUCUUCCCGGCUCCCCGGUGUGAAAUCCCAGCGAAAUUUACAAAGGCCUCUCGCGUCCAGCCGACACCGGUCCUCGGCGUUCGGCCCCGUUGUCCCCAUUCUCAGCGGGAGCCCCGGAGCACAGGGCGCCAGGGAAGGACUGGCGGGGAGGAGGAGGGAGGUCGCGGCGGCGGCAUGGCGAGGUUCCCAAGGGCCGACCUGGCUGCUGCAGGAGUUGUGUUACUUUGCCACUUUUUAAUGGACCGGUUUCAUUUCGCUGAAGGGAAGCCUGGAAGCCAAGUCAAUGAUUGGCACUAUCAUGUUGCUCAGGCCUUCCCACAAACAGAAGAGGAGGUGGACGUGGACUCACAUGCAUUCAGCCACCGGUGGAAAAGGAACCUGGAUUCCCUCAAGGCGGUAGACUCAAACCGAGCCAGCAUGGGCCAAGACUCCCCAGAGCCCAGAGGCUUCACGGACCUGCUCCUGGACGAUGGGCGGGACAACACCACCCAGAUUGAGGAGGACACAGAUCAUAAUUACUAUAUUUCUCGGAUAUAUGGUCCAUCUGAUUCUGCCAGCCGGGAUUUGUGGGUGAACAUAGACCAAAUGGAAAAGGACAAAGUGAAGAUUCACGGGAUACUGUCCAACACUCACCGGCAAGCUGCAAGAGUGAAUCUGUCCUUCGAUUUCCCAUUUUAUGGCCAUUUCCUCCGUGAAAUCACUGUGGCAACUGGGGGUUUUAUAUACACUGGAGAAGUUGUACAUCGCAUGCUAACAGCCACACAGUACAUAGCACCUUUAAUGGCAAAUUUUGAUCCCAGUGUAUCCAGAAAUUCAACCGUCAGAUAUUUUGAUAAUGGCACAGCGCUUGUUGUCCAGUGGGACCAUGUACAUCUCCAGGAUAAUUACAACCUGGGAAGCUUCACAUUCCAAGCAACCCUCCUCAUGGAUGGACGCAUCAUCUUCGGAUAUAAAGAAAUUCCUGUCUUGGUCACACAGAUAAGUUCGACCAACCACCCAGUGAAAGUGGGGCUGUCAGACGCGUUUGUCGUCGUCCACAGGAUCCAACAAAUCCCCAAUGUUCGAAGAAGAACAAUUUAUGAAUACCACCGAGUAGAACUACAAAUGUCAAAAAUUACCAAUAUUUCAGCUGUGGAGAUGACCCCAUUGCCUACCUGUCUCCAGUUUAAUGGUUGUGGCCCGUGUGUAUCCUCUCAGAUUGGCUUCAACUGCAGUUGGUGUAGUAAACUUCAAAGAUGUUCCAGUGGGUUUGAUCGCCAUCGGCAGGACUGGGUGGACAGCGGAUGCCCUGAAGAGUCCAAGGAGAAGAUGUGUGACACCACAGAGCCAGUGGAGAGCUCCACGCGAACCACCACAACCAUACGAGCGACAACCACACAGUUCAGGGUCUUGACGACCACCCGAAGAGCAGCCACCUCCCAGCUGCCCACCAGCCUGCCCACAGAAGAUGAUACCAAGAUAGCUCUACAUCUAAAAGAUAAUGGAGCCUCAACAGAUGACAGUGCAGCUGAGAAGAAAGGCGGGAACCUCCAUGCCGGGCUCAUUGUUGGAAUCCUCAUCCUGGUCCUCAUUAUAGCUGCCGCCAUCCUCGUGACAGUCUACAUGUACCAUCAUCCAACGUCAGCAGCCAGCAUCUUCUUCAUUGAGAGACGCCCAAGCAGAUGGCCUGCAAUGAAGUUCCGAAGAGGUUCUGGCCAUCCUGCCUAUGCUGAAGUCGAACCCGUGGGAGAGAAAGAAGGUUUUAUCGUCUCGGAGCAGUGCUAAAAUUCCCGGGGCACAACAGCGCCAGUGCUGGCUUACAGGUGUUCAGACUAAAAUUUGCCUAUACCUUUAAGAAACACACACACACACACACACACACACAGACACACACACACACACACACACACACACACACACACACACAGACACACACACCCCGGUUGUGACAACUAAAGUUGUCUCCAGACAUUGCCGCAUGUCCCCUGGGGUAAGAUGGGGAAAACUACUAGAUUCCCUAGUGAACAAAACAUAUCAGGAGGAGAAAAGAAACGUUUCUCUUUCUCUUGUCACUUAAUCUUCGACAUGUAUAGGUUUUUAUUUAUAAUAAGUCUUGGCAUCAUGAACUCAUUGAAUUAGAAGGGACAAUUAAAGCCACCAGUUCAACCACAACCCAGCAUCAUCCAUAUCUAGUUCUCAUCUCUCGGCUUUACAAACGAAUUGAGAGAACAUCAGAGGGAACUGACGUGGGAGUUGACUCUCUCAUAGUGAGAGAGAAGGCUCUUCGGUGUUUAUGUUCUGCCCCUGAAAUAGCUGCUGCAGUGACUUUGGCUUCAGCUGGGGACGUGGUGUCACACAACUUCAGCAUCUCAGAGACUUCGAGGAGUUUUCUUUGAUUAUUUUGUCUCCAAAUCUUGCUCCAGCAUCUUUGCUUUCAAGUUGUGCAUAGAAGUUGAAGUUCAGUGUAUCUAAUUUUAAGUCUAUCAGGUUGAGCUUCCGACUUUUUUUUUUUUAAUUCUCCCUCUGACUUUUUUUUUUUAAUUCUCCCUCUUCGGGGGAAAAAAAAUAAAAUUGACUCUUCCAAGUAACUGAAAGUCGGAAAUGUCAGAGUUGGAAUGUCUGAAUCUGUCAAGCCAAAGUUCCUGCUGAUUUGAUGUGCCUUAUGUCAGUUUUCCUGUGGGGUCAGUGAUUUCUUGUAAAUAACCCUGUGUUUGUUCUUGUGUUUAUUCUGCACCAAUUAGAAAGCUUGAUGAAGUUCUAAAAGACAACCCUUUAAGAAUAUUCCCAGAAACAACACCAACGAGAAAAAACCCUGCCAACUGGAAUAUCAGGCCUCCCUCUAUUCUUUUGCUAAAAGACCAACCCAGACUUUGGAAACAUUCUUAAUUAUUUACUACAAGUUGCUAAUAUGGAUGCACAAUUGAAAGCCUUGAUUGUGAAGUCCAAGGCUAUAGAAUAUUGACAAGCACAUCUAAAGUGACCUCUCCCAAGACCGUGCUGGAUAUCAGAAAACUCCAACCUAGGAGACCCACAAGUGUGCACAUAAUUUCCUUCUCUACCACUGUCCUAUCAGACAACAUGGUGAUAGUUAAGGUUUUAAUUAAGUUGAUCUUCCAAUUUCAACUUAAACUGCAACGUAUGUGCCUAAUUAUUUCCUGACAUACCCUUUAAACCACCCAGUUCUCACUGCUCUCACAAUGAUUACUGCAAAGCAGUAAGACGAUAAUUGUUCAAGUAAAGUCACCUAAGUUUUUUAAAUCAAAUCUCUAUAACAAAUUUACAAAAUACAUCAUCGCUGGCUUCUCAAUGUUAAUUCUUGUUAAUUUCCAGAUCGCUGUCCACACUGAGUCCGUGUCACUUUAAAUCCAGAAUAAAAAGCUGGAAAAAAAUUAAUGUAAAUCAGAUGCCGGUGCUCCUCUUUUUCUAAUUUCUAAGAUUUAUUAUCAUUUGAGAAUUAGUAAGAGAAAAAAGAAAAAGGAAAUGAAAAGAAAAGGAAAAAAAAGCCUCUCCUAAUGGAAUAAAGUAAAAAAUUUUGACUUGGCAGAUAGUGAUGUAUUCACUUUAAUUCCAGUUGGAAACCUUCAGUGACUUCUCUCAUUACCACUGGAGUUUUGAUUUUUUUUAAAAACAGUCUCUCUUCCCUAGCAUUACAAAAAAAUAUAUAUAUAUUCAUCACCAAAAUACCGCUUACCAAUCAUGCAGCUAUAAACCAUUUGUGCCUAUCAAAUAGAUACCAGUUUUAGAUGUUUGCUCUGUGGGAAGAGGUUUAGGAAUGGGUGCAGGGGUAAUUCGUGGAAAAGAUAAAGGUCGAAAUGUGCUAUCAAGCAGAAUUUUCACCUUCUUCAGAGCAAUGUGCAAAUAAAUAUUCAAUGAAGAUCAGCUCAAAUUUAAGUCAUCCAGACAUUGAGACCCUGUGCAAGUUAUGUUAAGAAGCAUGUGACAUACAGAAAGUAAAGGAUGUUCCCAUUGAAUCUAAAACUCAAGCCAUCAUCUACCUGGACCUCUUUAGGGCAUUAAUCCUGAAACCAUUGAGGCUUUUGAUCUAGCCAGUUGGGUUACUUAUGGGCAAGUAAUGACCAAAAAGGAACUUUUCAUUUAUCAUCCUCUGAGUUACAAGGCAUGACCCUGUUUUUUUGAUUCCCUUAUACCAGAGACCAUGAGACAGCCAGCUCCACACAGGCCAUAAAAUACAAUAAAAAGAAAAAUAAUUUUCCUGAGGAAAGGCUAACGAAGGGUACUUUAUUCUGUAGACCCUGAGCUGGAUCCCUGGGCGGUUUGGCCAUCUUAGGACCUAGACAUCAGCAACCAUUUUAAAGGUGGUUUGAACAAAAGUAUACCAAGUGUCAUAUUUUUUAGCAGGAAAAUAAAAACUCAGAUUAAGUGUCCUCUGCCAGUCUACUCUGAGAAUGCCAUCAAGUGAAAUCAGAGCUUCCCUAGCUGAAAAAUGUUAAAAUCAUUUCAGGAAAAUGAAUUUGGUUUCUUUAGACACAAGCAUUUUGUGUUUAUUAUAACUAAAUCUCAGGGCCCUAGCUGAGAAGGGGAAAGCCGUUUCAUUGGUGGGUCAAAACAAAUCUCUCGUUUGCCUCUCUUGAGGCAUUUGGCCAGUGCCUGCGAAGUACAUUACUUUCCUGGGGGAAAAAGAGACAGCCUUUUCUCGCAUGCCAGCUGGGAUCAUGGGAACGUCCGAUGCCAGGAAUUUACUACUGUUUCUGGUAACUCUGCUUGUAGUCAUUUGAAAUGCUGAAGGGUGGGGGAGGAGAAGUCGGGCACCCAGGGAGCUGUCUGUGUUUUAUGCCAGUUACACCAGGCACAGAGUAUUUGUAAACGCUUUCCGAAGUGGGGAUAUUUGUAUCCUUUGUCAGAAUCACAAAGCUCGCUGUGGAGCCUCUGAAAGAGAGCCCGGGGGGUGGGGGGGGUGGGGGGGUGGAAUCGCUGACCCUUUGCACCCAGUCAACCCGCACAAAAGGGCAGACUGUGCGGGUGAGCCCAGCACAUGGCGAAUUUGUUUCUGUUUUCCACGGCCCUGGACUUCCGAUCAAGGACAUGUCUGUCAGGUGAAGGUUAAUUUUGCUGAAGUUUUCCAACACUUCAUUUAAUACUUGGAAACAUGAGCAUUUUGAAUUUAUUCCAGUCCUCCGGGCACCAUCCCGAUUUCCUUUGCCAUGUCACCAAGACUCUGAAGACGGCGCUCUUUCAUGAUAAAAUUCCAUUCACAUGCUUGACAUACCUGAACCUGCAAAUGUAAAAGUGAUUGUAUCUGAAUUUGCACUAAUGUGUCUGAUAGCAGAAGACCUUUAUUGGACUCCUCUGUUUAAACUCAGUCAUUCAGAUGCCACGUACUUCUGCAAGCUUCUUGAUCGUUUUCACUGUAAGACUAAUUAUCUAAGUUUGAAUGUAUUUCCUUACAGCCCAUUAAUUUUGCCAUCUUUUACCUGGAGAUCAUUAUGAUUGCAAUAAUUCCUUAAAGUUUUCCUCACACAGCUUCUUAAACCAAGUUUUUCUGCUUUUUCUUCUGGUCCUGCUUAUAGUAUGUGGGAAAUCUUUUUUUUUUCCCCUCUGUAAUAAUUUUGUAAGAAGCCAGUGUAUCAACAGCCAUUGCGACACAAUUCAUCUUUUCAGGUCUGGAAGCUGGUAGUGACCAAAUGCCACGUAUAUUCUCCCUGUCAAUUGCUAUUUUCAGAAUUAAAUCGUGUUUUUUUCACUUUCAGUUGGUUGGGGUCAACACAUUUGGGAUUUUUAGAAGGGGGAAAAGGGAGCAAUUUGUGUAAUACUGCUGUCAUAUUUGACUACAUAUUAAAAACAAUAAAUGAUCAUUUUGUUUUAAUUUCUUAAA